rnacentral:rRNA from 1 species
UACGUAGGGUGCGAGCGUUAAUCGGAAUUACUGGGCGUAAAGCGUGCGCAGGCGGUUUUGUAAGCCAGAUGUGAAAGCCCCGGGCUCAACCUGGGAAUGGCAUUUGGGACUGCAAGGCUUGAGUGCGGCAGAGGAGACUGGAAUUCCUGGUGUAGCAGUGAAAUGCGUAGAUAUCAGGAGGAAUACCGAUGGCGAAGGCAGGUCUCUGGGCUGACACUGACGCUGAGGCGCGAAAGCUAGGGGAGCAAACGGG